GUUGAACGCUGGCGGCGUGCUUUACACAUGCAAGUCGAACGGUAACAGGCCGCAAGGUGCUGACGAGUGGCGGACGGGUGAGUAAUGCAUCGGAACGUGCCCAGUCGUGGGGGAUAACUACUCGACAGAGUAGCUAAUACCGCAUACGAUCUAUGGAUGAAAGCGGGGGACCGUAAGGCCUCGCGCGAUUGGAGCGGCCGAUGUCAGAUUAGGUAGUUGGUGGGGUAAAGGCUCACCAAGCCAACGAUCUGUAGCUGGUCUGAGAGGACGACCAGCCACACUGGGACUGAGACACGGCCCAGACGCCUACGGGAGGCAGCAGUGGGGAAUUUUGGACAAUGGGCGCAAGCCUGAUCCAGCAAUGCCGCGUGCAGGAAGAAGGCCUUCGGGUUGUAAACUGCUUUUGUACGGAACGAAACGGCUCUGGUUAAUACCCGGGGCUAAUGACGGUACCGUAAGAAGAAGCACCGGCUAACUACGUG
rnacentral:rRNA from 1 species